CCCUCAAAACCCUAAUAAAAAUACUCUGUGCGCCGCGGCCCGCGGCAGCCGCGAUUCCGCCCACCAGGCCUCGACCACAACCACCAGCACCGUGCGCCCUCUCUCAGCACCAGCAAGCUGCUAGCUUCUCCGAGGGGACGGAUUUGGCGCCGGAUGGGCGUCGUCGGAGCCGACGAGGAAGUGUGGCCUCUCCGCCUCUGGCCUUGACAUGGACCACGGCCACGAUUGUGAAGCUCAUGAGGUCAGCGCAUCACGCCCUCGCGGGCCCAGAGAUGCAAAUGCGGCCCUGAAUCACGCGGCCCUUUGGCCGGAAGGAUACGGAGGAUGCGCGGGGAAGCCAGGUCGGAGCCGCGUUGGAGUUUCCGUGCCUGACUGCACGGCGGCGAGGAUUAUAGACGGUGUGAUAAGAAGAUUUUAUGAUCAAGAUCCUUAGAGCAGGGCAGGGCAAAGAUUGAAGAUCUUGUGCAAGGAUAAAGGACACUCUUUUUCCAGUGAUGGAUCGAUGCACAAGAUCGCUUGUGUCUAAGGUGGCUUUACUACUGUUGUUCGAAAAAAGGCUCGUGUGGUUUGGCUUUCUUUCCAUACUUCUGUCUCUUCGCUAAUUUGUGCUGACAGGUGAUAUUUAGUUAUUUCUUCAGGCCAUGGUCUAAUAGAUAUCUGUGUGGUGGAUGAAGAUUGAAGAAAUAUUUACCUAGGCAUCCAUCCGCGGUGUACGGGUUCCCAUAGUACCCUGCAUUGCAGUUGCAGAGAUAGCCUGCUCGGGUUCCCAUAGUACCCUGCAUUGCAGUUGCAGAGAUAGCCUGCUCCACUGACUGCGUCGAUGCAUUCGCUCUUA